GCGAGUGAAUGGGGCUGUAUACUUUCAUUACUCGGCAGACAUGAAGCUAGCACUACGGUUUAAUAUAUCGGUGAUGCCAGUCUUAUUUCGUGGUAAUGUUUGACGAAUCAUGAGACUAUACGUGUUUGGUGUAAAGGCUAUCUGUCACGUGGUGUCAUAACGACAAGUAGCAGUGCCGUUUACAUCCGCCUCUCAACAACUUCCGAUGACGUCACAGGACUUAUCUUUAUGCUGAAAUUCUGGUCUACUAUGAGUCAGACUGUUCCGGGGCCAGUACGUCUUGGACCCGCCAACUAUUUCCUCAUUUCGUUCAGCAUCUUGGUAGGCACCACUCUCCUUGUCGGAGUCAUCUACCUCUUCUACAGGGAGUACACCACACACAUGCAGAAAAAGGAACAGACGUUUAAGAAAAAACUGCGUGUAAGACGGCAGGGAAUUAGUGGAGCUAGCGGUACUGUCAAUACCGAGUUCGAAAUGGAGGACACAAGCAGUGAAAAGGACACGACUUUAUCUUAUCUCACCGUCUCUCCGAGUCCGGAUGGUAGUGUUUGACCAAGGGGUGACCCGUUCAUGACGUCAUAGCAAAACAUUCAACGCGCUUUGGUCAGAGGAUUAGCAUAAUUGAGCAACAAUGGAAGGCUAUUUAAACUCAAUGGAUCCAAUAUAUGUGGGAGAACAUAGGUUUAAAGACUUGUGAUAUCUCUCGGGUUUGACGUAUACAAAACAAAGUGAUGUUUGGAAUUACUUCCUCAGCACGAAUGUUUGAAAUGAGUUAGGUACACUGUGAAAGCGUCAUCCAAGUCACGUUUCCAUAGCAACCAGACGUUAGUUGUAUAUUAGACAUUGAAUAUUUCAGUAAAUAUACAAAUGCCAGUAUUUGUCAGUGUUCGAUUUCCUUUAUCCAAAUAAUCUCUGGUUGCUUGUUGAAAUGAUAUCAUUGUCAUAGUUUGUGUGAUGCAAUAGAAGUGUGUUUCAGAAUAUAUUCUUCUUGGGCUUGAUCGGAUUGGUACCCAAAAACGGAUAUUUGGUUAAGAAAAGACACUAUACACUUUACUUGAUUUGUUAAUCCGGGAACAUCAGGACCGACAAUUCACAUGCCUCCAAAAGACAGGAGUUAUUUGGUAUCUGUGGCCUAAUUUUAGCUGAUCAAGGAUGUUUGAGUUGAUACAUCCCCCGUGUAUCACCUUCCCGUUUAAAAAUAGUUUAUUGGUUUAAACGUCAAUGUAAUAGGAUAAUCUAAAAAUGUAUUCACUUUUCCUGGAUAACAAUCUUCACAACACUGUGGAAUGCUAUUAUAAGUUUCAAUUUACAAUUUGGAAUAGUUGGAUAUAUUCGGUAUGCAAAGAUCUGCACUUGUGACAUGUGAGAAAUUAACACGUUCAAAAUAUCCGGAGCUUAUAUUCGUAAUCUACAUAUAGACAAUAUGGAGAAUACUUAAAGCAAUAAACCCCUGCCAUAUUGUUACUUUGAGCUAGUUCAAAUAAGAAAGUAACCAUUGUGUCACGUGCAAAUAUAAUGUCCAUGAACUUAUUUGUGUUAUGCGAUAACAAAUAUGUGAUAUUGUAGAUUUCCUACGCUUUUUGCAGCGGAUUUAAUAGAGGGAAACGUGAAACAGUCGUUCCGUCGGGGGCAAUGGAAUUAUACUGUGAAAUGGCACGUGCAUCCUCGAUACUCCAAGGGCUUUGCUCAUUUUUGCUCUCUGCACCCCUGGAAUAUGUCAAAGCAAAUUUAAGGGCACGCGACUAGCCAUUUGAUUGGUCUUAAAACAUUUGACCAAUAUCUAAGGAUGAUAUCUGUCCUUUGAAGAUUGCAGAGGAUCAACACUCACCUUAAAGCAAUUAUUUUUACUAUUAUGCGACAUACAGAUUCUUUUGAUGUACAUCAAAGGAUCAAACUAGUCUUCUCGUCUCAUCCACGAUUUUGCUAUGACGAUUUCAGGGGUGCGGAUGUCGAAAGUGAACAUAACCCCUGGAAUAUCGAGGACGUGACACGUGAGAAACAGUGACACAUUUCUUGUCUUGAUUCAUAGUACGUUACACCUGGAUGUAUUUCAUAAGUGUAAAGUAGUGAUCGACAUGAACGGAAGUGCGCAUAUUUCAUGGGUUUGUGGUUAAAAAGUGUUUUAUUUCAGACUUCCUUUAUGUGUAUGUCAAUUGAAUAUAUACUAGCCAUUUAAAUUCGUUUAAUAAUCAUUAAAUGUUGUUACUUUAAAUAACACACCAUUUAAAUAGCCAUUAAACAAUAUUGGAGAGUGCUCGUAUUAAAAGAUUAAUUCUUAAUUGUACCACAUCCACGUUGGUCUAAACAUGACCAUACCAUUUCCUGGUAGUUCUGAUAUGAGUAUGUAUAUAGAUAUAUUGAAUUGCACAUCUUGUUGAUAAAAUAUGACAUAUGUAGUCUUGUUUUAAAAAACAUGUGUUAUUGUAAUAAAUUUCUAUGCAAUUGUCAUUAAAUGUCAUUA